GUUGUUGUAUUGGUUCGUUGAUAGAGAUUUCUCGGUUCAUGAAUUUUGGCAUAUUUACAUGUAGAAUCUGAAUUGGAGCUUAAUACUGUGACUAUCUACUUGCACAUGUUGGACUUGGAUAUGACUUAGGAGAAAACUACGAUUAUGAUCUGUCAUAUGUUUAAACUACCUGAUUUAGCUCUAGGAGCCGUUGUUAUUUUGUAUCAUCGCAGUAUCGGCGUGGUGGAUACCUCAGAUAGUUUAGAUUUCAGUUACGUUCGUGCUGGGAUGCCGAGUGUAAUUUUACAGUAGCAUUCAGACUGUUCUGAACUGUUAGGGGCCGUCGGGGUUGACGGUAAAUCCAUAUCGUCGUUUUGGCGUCAGAUUGUGCCAAAAGCACGUGACUUGUAGAUUGUUAGACUAAUUGGACUCUGUUACUUGACUUGGGGUUGUGAGAGCCGGAUUGAGCUCGACAGAGAUACGCUGCAUACUUGGUUGGGUAGCUCUCACGAGUGCCACUCCGGAGACGGACGUUGUACUUUCGCGUUGGUGUCGUUCGUGCAGGUUGGACUUACUCUCCACAGACUGCUUAGUUAGAGGUAGCUGUAUAGUCGCAACCGGGCGGGACGGGUGUGUUCACAGUCCCAAGGACUGGUAUGCUUACAGUUCAGUGAGAUUGGGUGAAGAUUGACAUUUACUACAGUUGGUUAGUGUAGAGCAUGAUAGUGUAGUGAUUGAUAGCGGUAGAGUGUACUUCCUGCUUUUCCUACUAUCCUUGCUCCCUUUUGCAGACUUAGUGGGUGUACCCGACGAGUCGCCGAGAUAGAGGAUCACCCGCUGCAGGUAGUGGUAUUUGUUGUUUUUAUUUUUGAGAGUUCGUGUACAUACAGAUGUUUUAACUCGCUGGAGCGAGUACUUUGUACCUGGAUGUUAUGUAUGUAUAUGGAACUUCCUUUCAGUUCUACCUGUUUAUUUUUCUAACAGCUCUAUACUACUGGUUGUAGUAUUGUAUGUUUUACAGAUAUAGCUACGCUUCGUAUACAGGAAAAAUUUUCUUGUAUACGGCGGAUUUGUCGGCGUGCCCGGAGAACGUGUAAUCCGGGCCGUGAUAGUGCUGCCUCCUCCACCUCCGCCUGCGCCGGCGUUGGAGAAGGAAAAGAAGAAUUCAAAGCGAACCCAAAUGAGAAGAACCAUUAUAUAUCAUUACUGUUACCGAAAAAUNGUGCCGCGUCCUCUUACUCCACCUUCGCUAGUGCAAGCACUGACACCGACGCCAGAGAAGGAGGACUUGGACCGAGCGCGGACGAGAGCGAAACCAAGAAAAAAAUAUAAAAAUAAAUAAAAUAAAAAAAUAAAUAAGAAAAUAUAAGAAAAUAUUUUUUUCUACAAUAAAAAAAAAGAAUGAGAGAGAAAAGAAGAAGAUGAUGAAGAUGCACUAUUUCAAAGAAACGUUGCACUAUUUUUAAAAAAAUGACAUUUUUCUGAAUAAAAAUUGCACUUUUUGAACGAAACUUGCACUCUUUAGACGAAAAUUAUACUAUUUCUCCUCAUCCACACGAAAACAAAGAAGAUAGAGGAGGAAGAGGAGAAAUAGUAUAAUUUUCGUCCAAAGAAUGUAAUUUUUUUCAAUAGUAUACUUUUUUUUUUAGAAAAGUUUAAUUUUUCUCUCAAAUAGUAAAAGUUUUUUUUAAAAAUAGUACAACGUUUCUUUGAAAUAGUGUAACUUUAUCAUUUUCUUUUUAUCUAUCUGAUUCUUUAUUUUUCUUGUAAUUUCUUUUCACCCUCUGCGCCUAAUCGUCUCAUCCACCGCCUCGGUGGCCCUCGGCGACGGUAACGAGGGCGGCGCCACAUCUUCUUCCUCUAUCUCCUCCUCAGCUGGCGCUUGCAACCCUCGACGACGGUAACGAGGGCGGUGCCUGUAGUAUCCUUGGGUUUUCUUUUGUUUUUCUUUCUUUCUUUGAGUUGGUAAAGGGCAUGGUGGUCAUUUUGUUGUGAUAAGGAUGCCACCUACCCUUUUCAUGUUUAUCCUCUCAAUUAACUGAGAGUGUGAUGUUUUUCUCUCUCUCUUAUACUUGACCGUACGCAAGGAGGAGGAGAACCCGGUUGGAGCUCGGAUCGACGCUGACGUCGCCCCGCGGUGCCGUUCGAGUGUGCGUUCGUCAUCGUAGCAUCGCGAGGAGGCCGGGCGAGGGUGCGAUUCCGCCAUUCUCGACGUCGCACUGGAUUGGGAUUAACUUUCGAGGUGGGUUAAUCGUCGGUUUAUCUUCUAAGUAUAUAGAUUAUCGACAUGUGUUGUUGUGUUGGUUCGUUGAUAGAGAUUUCUUGGUCAUGAAUUUUGGCAUAUUUAUAUGUAGAAUCUGAAUUGGAGCUUAAUACUGUGACUAUCUACUUGCACAUGUUGGACUUGGAUAUGACUUAGAAGAAAACUGCGAUUAUGAUCUGUCAUAUGUUUAAACUACCUGAUUUAGCUCUAGGAGCCGUUGUUAUUUUGUAUCGCCGCAGUAUCGGCGUGGUGAAUACCCCAAAUAGUUUAGAUUUCAGUUACGCUCGUGCUGGGAUGCCGAGUGUAUUUUUACAGUAGCAUUCAGACUGUUCUGAACUGUUGGGGGCCGUCGGGGUUGACGGUGAACCCAUAUUGCCGUUUUGGCGUCAGAUUGUGCCGAGAGCAUGUGACCUGUUGAUUGUUAGACCAGUUGGACUCUGUUACUUGACUUGGGGUUGUGAGAGCCGGAUUGAGCUCGACAGAGAUAGGCUGCAUAUUCGGUUAGGUAGCUCCGACGAGUGCCACUCCGGAGACGGACGUUGUGCUUUCGCGUUGGUGUCGUUCGUGCAGGUUGGACUU
rnacentral:lncRNA from 1 species